rnacentral:rRNA from 1 species
AUGCAAGUCGAGCGAAAGAUAAGGAGCUUGCUCCUUUGACGUUAGCGGCGGAUGGGUGAGUAACACGUGGGUAACCUACCUAUGGGACUGGAAUAACUCCGGGAAACCGGGGCUAAUGCCGGAUAACAUUUAGAACCGCAGGGUUCUAAAGUGAAAGAUGGUUUUGCUAUCACUUAUAGAUGGACCCGCGCCGUAUUAGCUAGUUGGUAAGGUAACGGCUUACCAAGGCAACGAUACGUAGCCGACCUGAGAGGGUGAUCGGCCACACUGGAACUGAUACACGGUCCAGACUCCUACGGGAGGCAGCAGUAGGGAAUCUUCCGCAAUGGGCGAAAGCCUGACGGAGCAACGCCGCGUGAGUGAUGAAGGUCUUCGGAUCGUAAAACUCUGUUAUUAGGGAAGAACAAAUGUGUAAGUAACUAUGCACGUCUUGACGGUACCUAAUCAAAAAGCCACGGCUAACUACUUGCCACCAGCCGCGGUAAUACGUAGGUGGCAAGCGUUAUCCGGAAUUAUUGGGCGUAAAGCGCGCGUAGGCGGUUUCUUAAGUCUGAUGUGAAAGCCCACGGCUCAACCGUGGAGGGUCAUUGGAAACUGGGAAACUUGAGUGCAGAAAAGGAAAGUGGAAUUCCAUGUGUAGCGGUGAAAUGCGCAAAGAUAUGGAGGAACACCAGUGGCGAUGGCGACUUUCUGGUCUGUAACUGACGCUGAUGUGCGAAAGCGUGGGGAUCAAACAGGAUUAGAUACCCUGGUAGUCCACGCCGUAAACGAUGAGUGCUAAGUGUUAGGGGGUUUCCGCCCCCUUAUUGCUGCGCUAACGCAUUAAGCACUCCGCCCUGGGGAGUACGACCGCAAGGUUGAAACUCAAGGAAUUGACGGGGACCCGCACAAGCGGUGGAGCAUGUGGUUUAACUCUAAGCAACC